rnacentral:rRNA from 1 species
UUAGCGGCGGACGGGUGAGUAACACGUGGAUAACCUACCUAUAAGACUGGGAUAACUUCGGGAAACCGGAGCUAAUACCGGAUAAUAUUUUGAACCGCAUGGUUCAAAAGUGAAAGACGGUCUUGCUGUCACUUAUAGAUGGAUCCGCGCUGCAUUAGCUAGUUGGUAAGGUAACGGCUUACCAAGGCAACGAUGCAUAGCCGACCUGAGAGGGUGAUCGGCCACACUGGAACUGAGACACGGUCCAGACUCCUACGGGAGGCAGCAGUAGGGAAUCUUCCGCAAUGGGCGAAAGCCUGACGGAGCAACGCCGCGUGAGUGAUGAAGGUCUUCGGAUCGUAAAACUCUGUUAUUAGGGAAGAACAUAUGUGUAAGUAACUGUGCACAUCUUGACGGUACCUAAUCAGAAAGCCACGGCUAACUACGUGCCAGCAGCCGCGGUAAUACGUAGGUGGCAAGCGUUAUCCGGAAUUAUUGGGCGUAAAGCGCGCGUAGGCGGUUUUUUAAGUCUGAUGUGAAAGCCCACGGCUCAACCGUGGAGGGUCAUUGGAAACUGGAAAACUUGAGUGCAGAAGAGGAAAGUGGAAUUCCAUGUGUAGCGGUGAAAUGCGCAGAGAUAUGGAGGAACACCAGUGGCGAAGGCGACUUUCUGGUCUGUAACUGACGCUGAUGUGCGAAAGCGUGGGGAUCAAACAGGAUUAGAUACCCUGGUAGUCCACGCCGUAAACGAUGAGUGCUAAGUGUUAGGGGGUUUCCGCCCCUUAGUGCUGCAGCUAACGCAUUAAGCACUCCGCCUGGGGAGUACGACCGCAAGGUUGAAACUCAAAGGAAUUGACGGGGACCCGCACAAGCGGUGGAGCAUGUGGUUUAAUUCGAAGCAACGCGAAGAACCUUACCAAAUCUUGACAUCCUUUGACAACUCUAGAGAUAGAGCUUUCCCCUUCGGGGGACAAAGUGACAGGUGGUGCAUGGUUGUCGUCAGCUCGUGUCGUGAGAUGUUGGGUUAAGUCCCGCAACGAGCGCAACCCUUAAGCUUAGUUGCCAUCAUUAAGUUGAGC